rnacentral:rRNA from 1 species
GACGAACGCUGGCGGCGUGCUUAACACAUGCAAGUCGAACGGAAAGGCCCUGCUUUUGUGGGGUGCUCGAGUGGCGAACGGGUGAGUAACACGUGAGUAACCUGCCCUUGACUUUGGGAUAACUUCAGGAAACUGGGGCUAAUACCGGAUAGGAGCUCCUGCUGCAUGGUGGGCGUUGGAAAGUUUCGGCGGUUGGGGAUGGACUCGCGGCUUAUCAGCUUGUUGGUGGGGUAGUGGCUUACCAAGGCUUUGACGGGUAGCCGGCCUGAGAGGGUGACCGGCCACAUUGGGACUGAGAUACGGCCCAGACGCCUACGGGAGGCAGCAGUGGGGAAUAUUGCACAAUGGGCGGAAGCCUGAUGCAGCAACGCCGCGUGCGGGAUGACGGCCUUCGGGUUGUAAACCGCUUUCGCCUGUGACGAAGCGUGAGUGACGGUAAUGGGUAAAGAAGCACCGGCUAACUACGUG